UACGAAGGGGGCUAGCGUUGUUCGGAAUUACUGGCGUAAAGCGCACGUAGGCGGACAUUUAAGUCAGGGGUGAAAUCCCGGGGCUCAACCCCGGAACUGCCUUUGAUACUGGGUGUCUGGAGUCCGGAAGAGGUGAGUGGAAUUCCGAGUGUAGAGGUGAAAUUCGUAGAUAUUCGGAGGAACACCAGUGGCGAAGGCGGCUCACUGGUCCGGUACUGACGCUGAGGUGCGAAAGCGUGGGGAGCGAUCCGG
rnacentral:rRNA from 1 species